rnacentral:lncRNA from 1 species
UAUCAAAGCAUAUGGGAUUCUACUCAUAUGCUUUUUUCUUAAGGGGUUGUCGGACAAUUCCUUUUCGAAAAAAAAUUUCAUGGCCUAUUGAAAGAUACCUUUUCUUGAAAUUUUUCAUACUAAACCAUUUCAGCACGAUGUCUAUGUACGUGGAUUGAGAUAAUUCAAGCAACCUCUUAGAUCUAUCUCUAUAGAUCUUUAUCCCC